rnacentral:rRNA from 1 species
AACGCGAAGAACCUUACCAAGGUUUGACAUGCAGGGAAAAGCCGUAGAGAUACGGUGUCCGUAAGGGCCCUGCACAGGUGGUGCAUGGCUGUCGUCAGCUCGUGUCGUGAGAUGUUGGGUUAAGUCCCGCAACGAGCGCAACCCUCGUCCUAUGUUGCCAGCGGGUAAUGCCGGGGACUCGUAGGAGACUGCCGGGGUCAACUCGGAGGAAGGUGGGGAUGAGGUCAAGUCAUCAUGCCCCUUACGUCCAGGGCUGCACACAUGCUACAAUGGCCGGUACAACGGGCUGCUAUCCCGCGAGGGGGAGCCAAUCCCAAAAGCCGGUCUCAGUUCGGAUUGCAGUCUGCAACUCGACUGCAUGAAGUCGGAGUCGCUAGUAAUCCCGGAUCAGCAACGCCGGGGUGAAUACGUUCCCGGGCCUUGUACACACCGACAUA